GACGAACGCUGGCGGCGGGCUUAACACAUGCGAGUCGAACGGAAAGGCCCUGCGUUUGUGGGGUGCUGGAGGGGCGAACGGGGGAGUAACACGUGAGUAACCUGCCCUAGACUUUGGGAGAACUUCAGGAAACUGGGGCUAAUACCGGAUAGGAGCUCCUGCUGCAGGGAGGGGGGUGGAAAGUUGCGGCGGUCGGGGCUGGACGCGCGGCUGAUCGGCUUGUUGGUGGGGGAGGGGCUUACCAAGGCUUUGGCGGGUAGCCGGCCUGGGAGGGUGGCCGGCGACCAGGGGCCUGCGAGACGCACCAGUCGCCUACGGUGGGCAGCAGUGGCAAGCCUUGCACAGUCGGCGGACGUCUGAUGCAGCGACGUUGCGGUCGUGAUGCCGGCCUUUGGGUUGUGAACAGCUUCAGCCUGUGACCAAGCGGGUGUGACGGUACUGAGUGAAGAAGCACCGGCUAACUUCGUG
rnacentral:rRNA from 1 species